GAGGGCGGACGGCCACAUUGGGACUGAGACACGGCCCAAACUCCUACGGGAGGCAGCAGUAGGGAAUUUUCGUCAAUGGGGGGAACCCUGAACGAGCAAUGCCGCGUGAGUGAAGAAGGUCUUCGGAUCGUAAAGCUCUGUUGUAAGAAAGAAACGACAUUCAUAGGGAAUGAUGAGUGAGUGAUGGUAUCUUACCAGAAAGUCACGGCUAACUACGUGCCAGCAGCCGCGGUAAUACGUAGGUGGCGAGCGUUAUCCGGAAUGAUUGGGCGUAAAGGGUGCGUAGGUGGCAGAACAAGUCUGGAGUAAAAGGUAUGGGCUCAACCCGUACUGGCUCUGGAAACUGUUCAGCUAGAGAACAGAAGAGGACGGCGGAACUCCAUGUGUAGCGGUAAAAUGCGUAGAUAUAUGGAAGAACACCGGUGGCGAAGGCGGCCGUCUGGUCUGUUGCUGACACUGAAGCACGAAAGCGUGGGGAGCAAAUAGGAUUAGAUACCCUAGUAGUCCACGCCGUAAACGAUGAGAACUAGGUGUUGGGGGAAUAACUCAGUGCCGCAGUUAACGCAAUAAGUUCUCCGCCUGGGGAGUAUGCACGCAAGUGUGAAACUCAAAGGAAUUGACGGGGGCCCGCACAAGCGGUGGAGUAUGUGGUUUAAUUCGAAGCAACGCGAAGAACCUUACCAGGCCUUGACAUCCCUUGCAGAGGUAUAGAGAUAUAUCCGAGGUUAUCAAGGAGACAGGUGGUGCAUGGUUGUCGUCAGCUCGUGUCGUGAGAUGUUGGGUUAAGUCCCGCAACGAGCGCAACCCUUGUGAUAUGUUACUAACAUUGAGUUGAGGACUCAUAUCAGACUGCCGGUGAUAAACCGGAGGAAGGUGGGGAUGACGUCAAAUCAUCAUGCCCCUUAUGGCCUGGGCUACACACGUACUACAAUGGCGUCUACAAAGAGCGGCAAGCCUGUGAAGGCAAGCGAAUCUCAUAAAGGACGUCUCAGUUCGGAUUGAAGUCUGCAACCCGACUUCAUGAAGCUGGAAUCGCUAGUAAUCGCGAAUCAGCAUGUCGCGGUGAAUACGUUCUCGGGCCUUGUACACACCGCCCGUCAAACCAUGGGAGUUGGUAAUGCCCGAAGCCGGUGGCAUAACCUUUCGAGGAGUGAGCCGUCGAAGGCAGGACCGAUGACUGGGGUUAAGUCGUAACAAGGUA
rnacentral:rRNA from 1 species